CCUACGGGGGGCAGCAGUGGGGAAUAUUGCACAAUGGGGGAAACCCUGAUGCAGCCAUGCCGCGUGUGUGAAGAAGGCCUUCGGGUUGUAAAGCACUUUCAGCGAGGAGGAAAGGUUGGUAGCUAAUAACUGCCAGCUGUGACGUUACUCGCAGAAGAAGCACCGGCUAACUCCGUGCCAGCAGCCGCGGUAAUACGGAGGGUGCAAGCGUUAAUCGGAAUUACUGGGCGUAAAGCGCACGCAGGCGGUUGGAUAAGUUAGAUGUGAAAGCCCCGGGCUC
rnacentral:rRNA from 1 species